rnacentral:tRNA from 1 species
AGUUUUAUGGUGUAACACAUAAUAAGUUGUAAACUUAGAGAAGCUUAGGCUAAGACUA